CCCUUAGAUGUUCUGGGCCGCACGCGUGCUACACUGAGUGGAUCAGCGGGUCAGGUUGCGCGAAAGUGUUUCCUAAUCUUGAAAUCCGCUCGUGAUGGGGAUUGACGGUUGCAAUUUUCCGUCAUGAACGAGGAAUACCUUGUAAGCGCGGGUCAUCAUCCCGCGCUGAAUACGUCCCUGCCCUUUGUACACACCGCCCGCCGCUCCUACCGAUUGAGUGGUCCGGUGAGGCUUUGGGAUCUGAGCGGAAAGAGCGUUUCGCUGUUUCUGCUCGGAAAACUCAGUCGAACCUUAUCAUUUAGAGGAAGGAGAAGUCGUAACA
rnacentral:rRNA from 1 species